rnacentral:rRNA from 1 species
GACGAACGCUGGCGGCGUGCUUAACACAUGCAAGUCGAACGGAAAGGCCCUGCUUUUGUGGGGUGCUCGAGUGGCGAACGGGUGAGUAACACGUGAGUAACCUGCCCUUGACUUUGGGAUAACUUCAGGAAACUGGGGCUAAUACCGGAUAGGAGCUCCUGCUGCAUGGUGGGGGUUGGAAAGUUUCGGCGGUUGGGGAUGGACUCGCGGCUUAUCAGCUUGUUGGUGGGGUAGUGGCUUACCAAGGCUUUGACGGGUAGCCGGCCUGAGAGGGUGACCGGCCAAAUGGGAACUGGGAAACGGCCCGGACUCCUACGGGAGGCAGAAGUGGGGAAAAUUGAACAAGGGGCGGAAGCCUGAUGCAGCAACGCCGGGGGCGGGAUGACGGCCUUCGGGUGGUAAACCGCUUUCGCCGGUGACGAAGCGGGGGUGACGGUAAUGGGGAAAGAAGCACCGGCUAACUACGU